CCUACGGGUGGCAGCAGUGGGGGAUAUUGCACAAUGGGGGGAACCCUGAUGCAGCGACGCCGCGUGGGUGAAGAAGCGCCUCGGCGCGUAAAGCCCUGUCAGCAGGGAAGAAAAUGACGGUACCUGAAGAAGAAGCCCCGGCUAACUACGUGCCAGCAGCCGCGGUAAUACGUAGGGGGCAAGCGUUAUCCGGAUUUACAGGGUGUAAAGGGGGCGCAGCCGGCAAUGCAAGCAAGGAGUGAAAGCCCGGGGCCCAACCCCGGGACUGCUCUUGGAACUGCAUGGAUGGAGUACAGGAGGGGCAGGCGGAAUUCCUAGUGUAGCGGUGAAAUGCGUAGAUAUUAGGAGGAACACCGGUGGCGAAGGCGGCCUGCUGGACUGUGACUGACGUUGAGGCCCGAAGGCGUGGGGAGCAAACAGGAUUAGAUACCCGUGUAGUC
rnacentral:rRNA from 1 species